rnacentral:rRNA from 1 species
GACGAACCGUGCAAACGUUAUUCGGAAUCACUGGGCUUAAAGAGUCCGUAGGCGGCGCGUUAGGUGGGGUGUGAAAUCCCUCGGCCCAACCGAGGAAUUGCGCUCCAAACCGGCGUGCUUGAGGAAGGUAGAGGUGAGCGGAACUGAUGGUGGAGCGGUGAAAUGCGUUGAUAUCAUCAGGAACACCGGAGGCGAAGGCGGCUCACUGGGCCUUAUCUGACGCUGAGGGACGAAAGCCAGGGUAGCGAACGGG